rnacentral:pre_miRNA from 1 species
CUUUAAAAUUUAAAAUGGAUGGCUCAGAUUUUGGAUGGAGAGGGGAUGGAGAGAAGUUGGAUGGAGAGGAUCCAAAUCCGAAAAAACGGGUUUGGAUUCUCUCCAUCCAUGUUCCCUCCAUCCUCUCUCCAUCCAAAUCUGAGCCAUUGAUUUUGAAAUUUAAAG